GCGAGACCGUCUGCUGCUUUUGUUCGCCCGUGAUCGAGGCCCUGCUCUCCUCCAGCGUCCCCGCUUUUGCCGUGUGACAGGACUACUGUGGCUUUUAGGGCUCGGACGUGCGACACAAUCCCUUUCCCGGAUAUGGCUUUCCACGCCUCAAAGAGCUCGGUGCUGUUUUUUAGCAGAUUCUAUUGCUUUUUAACUUAGAAACCUGGCGCAACAAUCGGAUAUUGACGACCGUCCAAUUGUGGCGUCCGGUUUUUCCGGUAGGUGCUGCGUGCGUUGCUCAAAAACUGCACCGAUUCCUAUCAGGGGUGUUUCUCCACCUCCAUCUGCUGGCAAGUGAACUGCGCCACCCAGCAUUGCUUGCCCCCUUAGUCCUGCAACACGCUAAAAAGCCUGACAUUCUCUUUCACCUACUGCCCUGAUCUGGAGGCGCAAUCAACCAUGGAGACCGACUCUCCCGCACGCACUUCCACUCCCUGAGCCAGGAACCAAUACUAAAUCGGAAUUACUGGGCGUAAAGCGCACGCAGGCGGUCUGUCAAGUCGGAUGUGAAAUCCCCGGGCUCAACCUGGGAACUGCAUUCGAAACUGGCAGGCUAGAGUCUUGUAGAGGGGGGUAGAAUUCCAGGUGUAGCGGUGAAAUGCGUAGAGAUCUGGAGGAAUACCGGUGGCGAAGGCGGCCCCCUGGACAAAGACUGACGCUCAGGUGCGAAAGCGUGGGGAGCAAACAGGAUUAGAUACCCUGGUAGUCCACGCCGUAAUUUGCUACAGCUAAACCUCCAACACGGGAACUCCGCACCGAAGGCCUCGAUUGCGCAAUUUAGCUGGCGGACCCCUCAUGCCGGCGUUCCAAUUUUGAGUUUACUUAACUGCCCCCGGGCGUGUUCGCCACCUCGUACACCAAAUUAAGCUACGUUGCGCUUCUUGGAAUGGACCAGAACUGUAGGUGUCUUGAAAGGUCUCUACCUAACCACGGAAGCCCUUGACACUCUGUCCACGACGUACCGACAGCAGUCGAGCACAACACUUUACAACCCAAUUCAGGGCGUUGCUCGCGUUGGGAAUAGGAAACAACGGUCGCCAAUCCGGCCCUUGAGUUUCCUCUGACGGUCACUAUUUGACCUCCUUCCACCCCUACUGCAGUUCAGUAGUACCGGGAAUGCUGGUCCCGAUGUGUGCACGAUGUUACCGCGUAUGUUUCUCUUCGCUGGAGCGCUCUCGUUCGCCUGGAGUAUUUCACGCAGCAUCAGGCCUAACCUCAGACGUUGAGCUGAGGUACUUCAGCCUUAGCGAUCAUUAGCAUCUAGUCUUACGAUGCCACUUAUGCAAGGGCCCGGAACAUGUGUGGCGGGCAGUGUGGUACCCUCACCCAACGUUUUCUUCAUCCAUCGAAUUGGAAGCC
rnacentral:rRNA from 1 species